GCUCCUACGGGACGCAGCAGUGAGGAAUAUUGGUCAAUGGUCGGGAGACUGAACCAGCCAAGUCGCGUGAGGGAAGACGGCCCUACGGGUUGUAAACCUCUUUUGCCGGGGAGCAAUGCCCAGCUCGCGAGCUGGGAAGGAGAGUACCCGGAGAAAAAGCAUCGGCUAACUCCGUGCCAGCAGCCGCGGUAAUACGGAAGGUCCGGGCGUUAUCCGGAUUUAUUGGGUUUAAAGGGAGCGUAGGCCGGCUUUUAAGUCAGCUGUGAAAGUCCGCGGCUCAACCGUGGAAUUGCAGUUGAAACUGG
rnacentral:rRNA from 1 species